CUCGCGCGCUCGCAUCUCCCUCUCUCCCUCUACCUCUCGUCCUCCCCGCUCCGCCUCCGAAAUUCGAGACUCUCCCCUCCGGCCCCGCUGCCACCUCCGCCGGCCGCAGCUCCCGCCGGGACCACGGGCCCAAGCCAAGCGUUUUCCUCCGCCGGUCCGCGUGACCGAGCCCUGGGUUUGAGCCGGGCAUUUUCCUCCGCCGAUCGUCUUCUCGCCGGAAAAAGGGAGGCAGAGGAGGAGUGUCAUCUUCGCAAUCGGUAUGCUUCGGUAGUCCGUGCCUUGGGUUUGAGCGGUAUUAGCGUACUUUUGGUCCUGUACUUUUGCAAUUCUGGUUCGACAAAGCUCCGAUUUUGCUGCACGAUUCCGAAGCUGAUUCGCGGCCGCAACAAACCCAAAGAGGCCCAAGACCGGCUUCUCGCCCAUUGCUUUGGAUGAGGUCACAGAUCCUCAGAACUUGGGGGCAAUCAUUAGGUCUGCCUAUUUCUUUGGAGCUUCAGGGGUGGUCUUGUGUGCCAAAAAUUCAGCUCCAUUAAGUGGUGUGGUUAGCAAAGCAAGUGCUGGUUCUCUGGAGUUGAUGGAGCUCAGAUAUUGCAAGAACAUGAUGCAAUUCCUCACAGCCUCAGCAGAAAAUGGUUGGAGAGUCCUUGGAGGAUCGGUUUCUUCUAAAUCUGUCCCUCUGAAUGACAUUUCACCUGGUGUACCCACCAUUCUUGUUCUUGGGAGUGAGGGCACUGGACUGAGGCCUUUGGUGGAGAGAUCGUGUACUCAGUUGAUCAGGAUUCCAGGAAACAUCUCUUCAGACGUAACUGCCGGAGAAGCUAAUAAUGUGGAAGAGGGCACGGAAACAAAUAACU